UAUAACCUGGCUCCUCCUCUUGCCUCCUCAGAGCAGUUCUCUUGGGGUCACUUGAGAUGCUUUCUCCAGGGCUUAAAGUCCUAAAAAUUCCCACUGAAUAAAACAACUCUCAACUUUUAGAUUAUGAAUACUUUUUAAGUCGACACAAGCAAAGUGAAAACAGCAGAGAGAGCUGCAAACUUCCACCUGCCAAAGACUUAAUGAAUUACAUUUCCAUUACAUUUCCAGAUGGGACUAAGUGCAAAUUGUAGCAGAUGAGGACAUUGGGGCAGAAAAGAUGAAGUAGUUCACCUAAGGACACACAGCAGAAACAGUGACAAUGCCAGUCAUAGCUGAGGGUGCUUAGCUGCUGGAAGGAUCUGAAAUGACUGCAUAAACCCACAAUGGAGGCCAAGACAGCCCACAGCUGAAGCCUUGCCCAUUUGGAUCCUUUGCAUCAUUAGCUCCCACGCUGUCAGUUUCCAUGGAGCCAUGGGGACGAGAGGACUUGAGGCAAGUUCAGCUAGUGGAGCUCUGGGUCUGUUGGGAGAUGGAAGGAGCCCGACAGGUGUCAGCCAGGUAGCCCCAGAGCCUGCAGUCCUGGGCGCAGCUGCCAGUGGCUUGACAGUGAUCUUGCUUUAAAGUCCUCCCUCUAUUUAACAAAACCCUCUCCUCUUAUUGUUUUGAAAAUGCCAAAGGGAGCUUGAAACCUGUAUGAGGGGUGAGGGAGAAUCACAAAAAUAAUGUCGUGACUUUGAAGACAGAGAUGUUCUGAACAGGACCUUUAAUUUGCUCAGCGAGCUUGGAGAGGUUUUUGGGUUUUUUUUUCUGGACUCAUCGCCCUUAUGAGUUAGUGCUUCAGUCGUGUCCGACUCUUUGCAACCCCAUGGACGGUAGCCCACCAGGCUCCUCUGUCCAUGGAAUUCUCCAGGCAAGACUACUGGAGUGGGUUGCCAUGCCCUUCUCCAGGUAUGAGUUAGUAGCCUCUUUUAAAUAAAUGAAGAAACAACCGACCACUCCCCCCGUCAUCUCACAUACCUGUCAGGUAGGUGUUAAGAUGCAUGUUACUAAGGACCAAAGGAAUCUCCUGGAGGUUAAUAACUUAGCCCAGGUCACCCAGCGUGUAGGCAGAGAGCUGGAGCCAAGUCCACCUCUCCCCAGAUUGCCUCUGGGACCUCAUCGACAGCCUUCUGGCUGCCUCCCUGGAGCUGGAUACCUCCAUUAGGCUGUAACUGUGCAUUAAGCCCAUCCUCCUUCUCAGGGUCUGAGGGGGCUGAUGUGUCACUUGACACAAAGAGCUCUUUCAUCAGCUGCCCCCACUGAGGACCACCCAGGACAAAGUCAGCUUCAGCCACAGCUGGACAAAUUUAGGUCAGAUCUGCAGAAGAAUUUCCUGGCACGGCAGUUAGACAAUAGGACACGUUCUUGAGCAAAGUUGUAAUUUUCAUCUUCGGAGGAUGAGAAAAUCAGAGCCAGUUUCCUCUGUGUCAAAGAAGCUGAGGCUUUCACUUUGCAACCUCUUCAGGUCCCUUUAUACCACAUGGAUCCUUGAAGCCCAGGAGACAAAAAUCUUGCUGCAAGAAGAAAAGAGAUCUCCUGGAGCCGCAAACAGAGGUGGUCAAUCUUUGAGGAUUUAUCAGACCCUCGUAGUGUAUCUCACCUGAUCGAGGCACCUGGGUUAGCAACAAAUGAGAUGGAGUCUUCCUGCAGAUAGAGAUUUGAUUCCCGUGAUGGGAGAUAAACCCCCAAAUGAAUAAGGUGAUACUGCAUACAGAUGAGACCAGGAAAUUAAGGCAGGAGGAGAAGGGGAGGACAGAGGACAAGAUGGUUGGAUGGCAUCACCGAUUCAAUGAAAAGGAGUUUGAGCAAGCUCCAGGAGAUGGUGAAGGAUGGGGAAGCAUGGUGUGCUGCAGUCUGUGGGGUCGCAAAGAGUCAGACACGACUGAGUGACUGAACAACUUGGAAGGAGAAACUUGACUUUGCCUUAGCAGGUUGAUCCAGGUCCACAUCCUCCACUUCUGAAGAAGUAUCUUUGGAAUUGUGUCCUGGAGGAUAAGAAAUAGCAACUGGGUAGAUGUACAGAGAAAGAAUAUUCUCAGCAGAAGAACCAAUAAAAAUUCAGAGGUUGGCAGUCAAGGAGACCUGGUACAGUGUAUUCCACUUACUAGCUGACUGCCUCGAGAGCUUGAAUUUCUUCAUCUGUAAAAUGGGGACAGUAUCAGCACCUAUCCAUUGGUUUGCUGAGAAGAUUAAAAGGAAGGAAAAAAGAAAAAAAAGAUGCUGAAAAAUAAAAUAAGACAUAGCCCCCACCCUUUGGGAGCUCACAGAACAGAUAAUGAGGAGACAUGAGCAACUCAAUUUAGAAAAAACAUUUAUGAAAUAUAUGAUCAAUAAUAACCAACAUCUGGAGAAGGAAAUGGCAACCCACUCUAGUAUUCAGGAGAAUUCCAUGGACAGAGGAGCCUGGUGGACUGUAGUCCACUGGGUUGGGGAGUCAGACACGACUGAGAGACUAACUCACGCACACAAUACUCAACACCAUCAAAGUCCAAAUUGCUGGUCCCUGCAAAUGUACAGACCUGCUGUUGUUAUAAUCUAUUGUCCAAAUCAUAAACCCUUAAGGAGAGUGAACCAGUCUCUGCUGGAAAAGCUUUCUUCCCUCUGAGGCCAGUGUAUAUACAUACAUAUAUAUAUAUAUAUAUUAAUAGCAUACCCCAGUGUCCUCUCCCCUGAAGAAGUAAUUGGCAAUCCACUCCAGUAUUCUUGCCUGGAGAAUUCCAUGGACAGGAGCCUGGCAGGCUACAGUCCAUGGAGUCGCUAAGAGUUGGACACGACUAAGUGAGUAUCACUCACUCACUCACUCCAGUGUCCCCUACACCCAGGAAAUACCAUGACAAUUUUUAAGAUAUCUAUCAGCAAGAGUAAACUAAGAGAAGAAAAGAGGUGUCAACCACAAGCUCUGAUGUUUUCUGUCGUAAAUAAUAAACACGCACAUCUUUGUCUUGGGGACUUUGCCUGAGGGACUAUGCUCAUAUGGAUGAUAGUAACUAUUUAGUGUUUCAUUUUAAAGAAUGCUUCUCACCUUUCCAGAAAAUUAAAGGCUAUAGUUCCAGCUGACUGUAGUUUUCUUCUGGGGGCUUCAUUUUUUUCACUACUCAAAAUAGUGUUUAUUUCACCUUUGGAUACAAAUAAUACAGUUUCAUUUGAUGGCAAUGUCCAUUGUCUUUAUAAGAGCUUGCUUGCUGUCACUGCCAGGAGGGUUAUAUACCAGGGAGGACUGUGAAAUCAAUUGAAGAAUAAUCUCCUUGGGAAAGUAGUGCUGCUGUAGAAGGCGGUGAAAUUGACUGUUCUAUAAUGAGCGGAGCUCAGGCAGCAUUUGGAUGGAGAUCUUUUAGCCAUAAGCUGCUGAUAUGUCUCUGAAAUUGGCAUUGGUGCUUUGUCCUGCUCACACUGUGUGUCGUGUAUUGUAUGAAGGCAUGGGACUGCCUCCAUGGUGGGCCACAUACUGUCCUCUGACUCUACAUCACCUGUGACCUUGACAGCAGCCCUUAAAUGGAUGCUUUGGAUCAUUCCUUUGUUGUUGUUUAGUUGCUAAGUCAUAUCUGACUCUGCGACCCCAUGAACUGUAGCCCACCAGGCUCCUCUGUCCAUGGGAUUUCCCAGGCAAGAAUCCUGGAGUGGGUUGCUGUUUCC